CAACACUCGCUUGGCUAAUUCACACGAGGUCGAAUUCGUGCCAACACCCCACCCCGUAAAUCCUUAGUGAAGCAGGAUUUGCUUAAAAUAAGCACGAUAUAAAAAUCUCCUGCUUUCGUUAAGGCCUUCAAAUACCUCAUAAGGUUUCGUAUUUCAACGGUCUCCUCCGCGUUUCGCCGGUAUAGAAAUUGUUUUGUGGGUAACCACCUAUCUUCUUUUUCUAGGUGUGCUUUGUGCCUUUCGUAUUGCACAUAUAUAGGAUUACGCUUACGCUUCCCUACAUUCAACCUGUCGAUCAACCUUCGUCGAUCUGGACAUGAUCCAACGUUUUGCAGCUUUUCUCUACCACUUGCUUGUGGGAUACAAAAACGUAGAUCAAUUCGACUUGUGGUACACCUGUCUCGCAACGCGCAUGCUGUAAUCAUAACCUUAUUUGUGAUCGUGUCGGUGAGUGUGUGUGUCGUUUGAUCCCUAACUUGCACAUUCUUCUGUUUUAGAUUUGUUUCAACAACAAUGCUGCUAAUGGAUUGUAUUCGGCUUUUACGGUUUUCACAGCCGAUACUGCAAGCUGUCCAUCUCAAUCUGAAUCUCUCCGUCGUGUGCUUGGCGAUGCUGUCGAUCUUGGGUGGUGCCAUCAAUUCGGUGGGAUGUGUUCCGGCCAAAAACUUCAACUCCCCUUUCAGGGAAGGCAGAUAAAUUUGGUGAUAUCGCGGAGAUGCGGCAGCAGACAAAACGAGUUUGUCCACACUCGUUACAAAAAACAGCUAAGUUUGCUGCUUCACGAACAAUAUUUCACCAAAAUAAUCCAUAACUUUGCUCACUUUCAGGGACUGUCGAUUCUACCGUUCCUGAAAGGGGAGUCAAGGUUAACGAUCGGUACACAACAAACCGAUCCGAUAGCAACACGGCAGAUGAGUGUUGGCACGAUAUCGAUUGCGUGUGAUCGGACAGGGAACAGUAUUAUUUACAAACAUCAAGCUGACUUGACAACUCGAUCAAAUACCCAAAAUACCCGGCAGAUAGCGUACAAGAUUCACAAAGAGAGAUAACACGAUUAGAUUGUGCGACAACCAGUUCUCCGAAAUAUGGGCCAAUUCGCGAGCAGGUCAAAUAGGGUCAAGUAGCACAGCUGAUCGAGGAACAGGGCGCCAUCGCGAAACGCAGUUAGUAGUAAAAGUUAAGCUAGAAAAGACAAAAGAAUUUUUAAACUGAUCAGUGAUAAAUUUAUACGCGAGCGACAGUUGUAGAAACGUUUGUGAAAAGCUACUCAAAAUAGACAGAUUGCUACAUCCGUAGCAACAUACAUAAAAAAAGUAAUGUUGUGCGAGUUGCGCAUUGCGUUUGCUGCUUGGGCAAACUGACAUAUGUCACAGGGAUUGGGUUUGUCGCUUGGGUUUGCAUUUUUUGUGACAGUAGAAUUAGCAGUGCGACACGCACACAUUGAAAUGAUAAUAAAUGAACUUUAGUCUUGCAUGCGACAUCAACGAAGAAAGAUCGUCUUGUCCGUGAGGGCUCCCGAUUUAUGGUGAAAGAAAACCUACUACCCCACCCCCUCAAGUUACAGUCCACCGCUAGAGACACAACAUUGUGGUCCUACGGAACCGGAUAAAGUUACCCAGUGUUGUGAUAAGUGGUUUGUCUUUCUCGCGUAAAGUCGGUACAAAGGAACAUCCGAGACCGGGUGUUAAGGGCUCUAGACGCCCUACAGUGACGUGACUUUUGGUGCGUUACUACUGACAAACAGAUCAAACAGUAUCCGUAAACGCGAGUGUUUUCGGUCAGUGCUGUUCGACGGAAGCUGCCUGAGGGCAUUCCAGACAACAAGAAGGGAAAAGUGUUCUUUUCAGGAGAAGUGUUUGGCUUGGGUUUUAGCGGUUGCAAAUGGCGUGCCGGUGCAAGUGAAUGUGUGUUAGUGCGUUCAGCUUGGUAUCGUUUCGUGUGCAAUUGCGCAGUGGCGCAAGCGAAUGUACGUGUACGUGUAUGCGCGUGUGUGUGUGACAGCUUAGCUUGGCGCGGAUUCUUGUGCAAAGGCUCGAUACGACGUUGAUGGUGUGUGUGCAUGUGUAACGAACGAUGCCAUCACCAUUUACUCGAUCGAAAAAGCUAAAACGAACACCAGUUAAGCGUGGGACGACAUCACCGAAACCAACAUCAUCACAACAACAGCUAGUAGAAGACAAUUCCGACGAAAUGGAGGUACAGCUGAAAGUGUUGGAGAAGCAACGGGAAGCAGUGUGUGGAAAGCUUAGUUGUGUGUGUGCAGCUUUGUGUGACAGUGCAGAGCAGCCUAACCUCAACGUAAAAAACGUGCACUUCCUUCAACUCCAGGAAAAGGCUUUAGAAAACAUCUAUAGUGAGUGAAACGAAAUACAGAACAAAAUCUACGAGUUAACGCUGCACGAUGACCAAGACAAAGAGCAGAAUGACAAAUACAUCGUGUUUCGAUGCCGUAACGAAAGUUGAAGUAGCCGUUCCACCUGCUCUCCCACUGACCCAGCAGCAGGCUCAGCCCUACCUCCCUCCGUUGCAAGUGCCCCUACCGACCUUUGAUGGGUCAUACGAAAAGUGGUAUUCGUUCAAGGCGAUGUUCACCACGGUGAUGAACCGAUACCAGCAAGAAGAACCGGCCCUGAAGCUUUUUCAUUUGCGAAACUGCCUUGUCGGAAAGGCGGCUGGUAUCAUCGACGAUGAGCUGGUAAACAACAACGACUACGAAGCUGCCUGGAAGGUUCUCACUCAGCGGUAUGAAGACAAAAGAGUGGUUGUGGAUAAGCACAUUGAAAACCUUUUCAGCUUACCCAAGAUCAACCAGUACAAUGCUUCGAGCCUUCGUAAAGUGAUUGACACCUGCACUAAAAACGUUGAGGCGUUGAAGAAUCAGAACCUUCCGGUAGGUGGUCUCGGUGAGCAAAUGUUGGUCAACCUUAUAGCUGGUAAGUUAGACAAGAAGUUGCGAGUGGCUUGGGAGACGAAACAAAGGAAGAACUUACUUUCUUCCUACGCCGCUAUGAUGGAGUUUUUGGAGGAGCAGUGUCGAAUUUCUGAGAAGCUCGAUACCAGCGUGAAAACAUCGACGGAAAGUACGAAGCCGAAAACAGUGGCAAGGAGCCUGGUAGUGAGUGAACCUAAACCGUUAGCGAAGUGUCCAGUAUGCAGUGCUGCUCAUGAACUCCGAGCUUGUGAACUUUUCAGGGCUAAAGGUGUUAAGGAAAGGUUCGAGAUUGCAAAACGGUGCGGUGUUUGCUUCAAUUGUCUCUCCAAAGGCCAUCAAUUGCGAGCAUGUUUAUCCAGUUCUUGCCGUCGUUGCGGUAAGAAACAUCAUAGCUUACUCCAUGAAGAUUCCCCAAGUCAGGUUGCAACUAACGUAGGUCAAACGACAUCUAGUGAAUCAGUGAUAGAAGAAUCCCAAACAGCCAACGUACAAGCUGAAACACCGACAACCCUGUGCGCGAGUGACGUGGAACCGGAGAAGCAGACCGUCCUUUCGACUGCCAUUGUUUUAGUGGAUGGUUUGUGCGAUUCUCCCUACCCUUGUAGAGUGGUAUUAGACUCUGCUUCGCAGAUGAACUUUGUCACCGAGCGAUUUGCAAACCUUCUCUCCCUUAAGACAAAACCCGCUGACGUCACGGUCAGUGGUCUGAACGGCAAUAGAACUCAUCUUUGCCGUAAACUGCGCACGACGAUCAGGUCUCGUGCCAGUGACUUUACAGCUGAGUUAGACUUCCUAGUGACACCACGAAUCACUGGGGAACUUCCGACGAAGUCUUUCGACAUAUCACAGUGGCCCAUCUCGAGCGAACAGGUGCUGGCCAACCCUACCUUUAACAGAAGAGGACCUGUCGAUAUGCUGAUUGGCGCUGGAAGUUUUUGGAACCUGAUGCUUGACGGCCGAUGUGAACUCGGUCCGAACCGACCUGCGCUGCGAUACACAAAGCUGGGUUGGAUCGCUGGAGGUGUGAUCGCGAGCGACACGACGGUCGUUGCGCGUACACUUUGCCAAACUGCUGACGAUGAGCCGCUCAUCGAACUGCUGAGGAACUUCUACAAGGUAGAAUCCUGCGACGAGCUCCGCCCUUCCCCGAAGGCUGAUGACGAAGCGUGCCUGGAACACUUCCGGCGCACACACGAGCGAACUGAGGAGGGACGGUAUUUAUUUAUUUUAUUUAUUUUUAUUUUAUUAAUUGCUCGGCCACGUUGGGUUACAGCAAUAGUACUUACUGACUAUAGUAUACAAUUAUUCACGAAGGAGUAGGAAGGAGUUUAUGGUACGGAAAAGGAGCGAAGACGAGAUCGGUAGACAGGAUAGGAGAGGACAGCAGGAAGGGAAGGCGGAAGUGAUUACAUUAGUAAACGCUGCUACAGCUUGAUUUAUGUCAUCAUCAGUAAAGCACAAAUCGGUACCGGCUAAAAUAUGAUGAAGCUUUUGGUAGUCCAGUUUCCUAAAAUUGAACAUACGAGCCGUAGGUAUUCGUUGAGAGGAUGCAGGGCGAGAGUGCGUAAGGAGCACACUUGUCUCAUGAGCAGGAUGAUGAUUGUCUAGCGCGACGAGUGGAACAGGUGAAGCUAUGACGGGGGAGCAGCGCUCCAAGAAGGCAUAGCAUUGGCAGCAUUGGCAAAUAGAAGGUCCAAUUGACUUCUGCGUAUAUUUUUUAUGCCAGAUAAUUGCGGCAAACCGUUUACCGACAUUCCAUCAAGCAGAGAAACAUUUUCACUAGAUACACCAGUAGGAAUGAAGUGAUUAACGCACGAUGCAAACACAUCCAUAUCAAGCUCAGAUAGACAGAGAGGCGUAUCUCGUCUAGUUUUGUGCGCAAUCCUCAUACUUUUUGAUAGUAGAUGUUUAGUUGAUCGAUCGAAGGGAUGAGAGAGCGAGAUGCGCCGGGAGUGCUCUCGCUGCAAGUUAUUAACGGCGAAAGAGAGUCGGACGGAUUAUGUGUAUUAGAUGCAGGGUUAGCUUCCAUCAAUUCGGGUAAAGUCGGUAGUUCAUGAGAAUCUUCAGCCGGAUCAGCCGGUUUACGCUUGCUGAAAGUACUGCGUAUAAGGCAAGCUCAUAGGGCCAUGAGCUGGCGAAAUAGUGAAAUCAGCGUUUCGCAGUUGUGUCGUGUGGUUGAUAGAAGGUGGCGAGGAAUGAUGAUCCGAUUCACGAUUAAUAGGCGCAGAAGGUGCAAGGGAUGCUGCAGUAGUGGGUCGCCAAAUAUUGACGGAGCGGGGAUUUAGGUCGAUGAACUCCUUAAAAGAGAUCCCGCGAGGCCAGGUUGAAGCAGCCAAAGCAAUAGCCCGGUGCGAAUCCGGUACACCAAUUUUAAAAGAUACGUAGGAGAGCGUAGAAAGAUCCCGGUCGCGUCGAACAAGGCUAUAUACCAAGAUGUCGUCUGUCCCUAUGUUAGAACAGGCCAUUUCACGGAUCGCUUCAAUCGGAGUAUCAGGAGCAAUACGGGAGAUAAAGACCCAAGUACGGGGUGGGCGUUCAGGAACGGUCGUAAUAUUAUUGCAGGACAACCCUGUGCCCGAUGAAAGCAUAGCGCGUGUAACGGUAUUGGUAGGCGAUGGGUCGGGAGAGCGAUCCAACAAUCGACGUUUAGAAGAAUUCUCACCAACAGCUUGAUGGGUGAGCUUAGAGGCCGCAACUGGAAUCGUGGUCGUUGAGUGCGUAGCAGGAAUCGCAGAAUGGUGAGCACUCGAUGUAGUGGUAUGCAUGGCAAGAUGAGAGUUGAGCUUGUUCAUUAGUGAGUUGAAGGAAGUGAGAAGCUCACGGUGCAUGAGAUCAAGCUCCUUGAUGCCAUGCUUAACUUCAUCAAGCGUUGUGAGUAGUGGAGCCUGUGAGUAGUUGCGUUCCAUUGAGUGAGAAGCAGUAAGUGAGUCGAUGAAAUCUUUCACGGAACGAAUUGACGAUGCUGAUUCCUGUUUCAUCAAAGCUAUCUCGUUUCUAAAACAAUCCAGUGAAGAGGAAAGUUCAAGUCGCAAGCCAGCUGAUGCCGCCUGCACAGAGCGUGAGGAAUCGCGGAAAUCGGACUGCAACGAUUCCAACAGGUAGGCAGCGUCACGAGAAAGGCCGUGCGAGAAGCGUAAAGUGUCAACGGCCCGCAAACGCUGAGCACAAUCCGCGCAAGCCCAGAAUAAAUUUUGUGAUUUCUUAAAAUCACGCAGGAGCGGGGUUGAAAGUCCAAUGCACUUAUCGUGAUCACAGACGCCAUCGCAAAAUAGACCAAAGUUCGACGGAACAGUGAGUGAUCACAACAACCGCAGGCGGAUUGCAAUAUCGAUAUCCUACGAUAUCCGUUCAACGAACGUAAACGCGAGCUUGGCGGCUCGCGAGACACAGCGCUGCGACGUUUUCUGGCUUUGGAGCGAAAACUUGACAAGCAGCCGGACUUAAAGGAGCAAUAUUCGCGGUUCAUCCGAGAAUAUGAGGAUCUCGGACACAUGCGCGAGAUUGUGGAAACACCGAAUGACGACCCAGGAUCGGUGUUUUAUCUACCGCACCACUGCGUGCUGCGGCCUACGAGCACGACAACCAAGCUGCGAGUCGUGUUUGAUGGAUCAGCGAAGACGUCAACCGGCGUCUCGAUCAACGACGUUUUGAUGACUGGACCGACGGUUCAGAACGAUCUUACUGCAAUUUUGCUUCGUUUCAGAGGAUUUCAGUACAUCUUCACACUCGACAUUCCGAAGAUGUUUCGUCAAGUGGUGGUCCAUCCGGAUAACACAAGGUACCAGCGAAUCUUUUGGAGGUACAAUCGGAACGACCCACUUACGGUGCGAGAGCUGCUGACAGUUACGUAUGGCUUGGGACCUUCCCCGUUUCAAGCAACCAUGGCUCUGAAGCAAGCUGCAAAAGAUCAUCACGAUGAGUUCCCAAGGGCCGCAGAGGUGGUCAAUAGGGAGACAUACAUGGAUGAUAUCCUGACUGGUGCCGAUACCCUUGCUGAGGCUUGCCAACUACAGCGAGAUGUGACUGGACUACUAGCGAAAGCCUGCUUCAGCGCUCACAAGUGGUGCGCCAACCAUUCAGAUAUCGUUUUAGGUGUAGCUGAAGAACAACGAGGAGACACUUUCGAGGUUACGGACGACACCUCGAAGACCAUCGUUAAGACACUGGGCGUGACAUGGAACCCGUUGGAGGACUGGUUCUCGGUGUCCGUUCCUGACUUUGACAACCCAGAAGGAAUGACUCGAAGGAAACUUCUGAGUCAACUGGCCAAAAUCUUCGACCCACUUGGAUUCUUUGGCCCAGUAAUCACCUACGCGAAGCUGAUCUUGCGAGAAGUAGGUGAACUACAAAUCGAUUGGGACGACUCCAUCCCAACCGAAAUCGACGAGAAGUGGCGAAACUUUCGGACCGAGAUGACAUCACUGAGGGAAAUCCGAGUUCCGAGAUGGAUUUCCUGGAAGGAUGUGUUCCAGCUGAGACUACAAGGGUUCGCUAACGCAUCCGACCAAGCCUACGAUGCCUGCUUGUACGUGCAGGGCACUUUCACCGACGAGGAGUCCAAGAUGCAGCUUGUUUGCAGCAAGUCUCGGAUCCUACCGAAAAAACGAAGUCCGAAGGAGAAGGCCAUCACGACCCCUCGAGCCGAACUGUUAGCGGCACUGUUACUGGCUCGAAUGGUUGUGAAGUUCCUGAACGCUACGGAGCUUAAGUUUGAAUCAGUACAUCUUUGGAGCGACUCAAAAAUCGUCUUGGCUUGGGUCAAGAAAACGCCAGAACUACUGCAGACAUACGUAUCAAAUCGGGUAAGCGAGAUCCAGCAGCUUAGCCAAUCCUUCCACUGGCAUUACAUUUCCACACAUGACAACCCGGCCGAUUUGAUUUCACGUGGAGUUACAUCGAGGAAAUUAAUAGGUUCAACUAUUUGGUGGCGGCCCCGACCAACACAGCACCUCAUGAAGGAUGAGGACGAAGUGGAAAUUCCGGAUAAUGAGCUGCCGGAAAUGCGAGCCGGAGUGGCUUUAGCCAUGACUGUUCCGAUCGAACGUUUUCCGAUCUUUGACAGGUUGAGCAGUUACACACAGAUUGUAAGGAGUAUGGCCUACUUGGUGCGACUAACUAGGUUCAUCAAGUCACGCAAAAGGGAGGUGGUAAAGGGCCGACUGACAGCGAAGGAAGUGCGUACAGCGACGCUCUUAAUAGUACGAGACUUUCCAGCCCGAAAUCAUCGCACUUAUGGACGGUGCGAAUACAAAACAUCGACUUAAUGGACUACAAGCGUUUUUGGAUCCUGACGAUGGGAUCAUACGAGUUGGAGGCAGAAUCAAGCGAGCCUUCAUACCUUACGACAGUCGACAUCAGAUGCUGUUGCCGGCUAAGCAUCCAAUCAGUGAAGCUCUCGUUCGCGAACUACACAUCGACAACCUACACAUCGGGCAAAGAGGUUUGCUUGCAGUUGUACGUCAACGGUACUGGCCACUGAAUGUGAAGAAUACUAUUCGAAAGGUGAUACGGAAGUGCAUCGUGUGUUUCAAGGCAAAUCCGUUGAAGACGACGCAACUGAUGGGUGACCUACCGUCGUAUCGCGUCCAGCCAGCCCCCGUCUUUUCGAAUACCGGUGUGGACUACGCCGGUCCCUUCUGGAUAAAAUCAACGACUUCUCGCAAACCGCAAAUCACCAAGGCGUACGUGUGCUUGUUUGUGUGUUUGCAGACUCGGGCGGUUCACUUGGAAUUGGUUUCAGACUUGACGACAGACGCCUUUCUUGCGGGUUUGAGACGGUUCAUCAGUCGACGUGGAUGCCCAAAAACGAUACGCUCUGACAAUGCGACUAAUUUUGUCGGAGCUAAAAUCGAGCUACAUGAACUUUGGCGUAUGUUCGAGAACGAUUGCGCUACGAAAAAGAUCACCAACUAUUGCAUCGACAAGGGUAUUGACUGGUCGUUCAUACCACCACGAAGCCCACACUUUGGCGGUAUUUGGGAGGCUGGUGUGAAGCAGGUCAAAUACCACUUAAAACGUAUUGUUGGCGAUAGGAAGCUGUCUUACGAGGAGCUUUACACGACAUUAACCCAGAUAGAAGCGGUACUAAACUCUCGUCCCUUGGUACCGAGUUCAGAUGACCCAUCCGACUACACUGCGAUCACGCCUGCACAUUUCCUGAUCGGACGUGAGAUGCAGCCAUUUCCUGAACCUGACUACUCUACCUUGAAGGAAAAUCAUCUCUCACGAUGGCAGUUAGUGCAGUCCAUGCUGCAACACUUCUGGAAACGAUGAACCGCCGAAUAUCUGCCGGAGCUGCAGAAUCGAUCGAAAUGGCUGAAGCGGAAGGUGAUUAAAGUAGGAUCACUUGUGCUACUAGCUGACCAGAAUGCGCCACUACUGCAGUGGCCACUUGCCAGAAUCGUUGCCACACACCCUGGAGACGAUGGUACAAUUCGUGUCGUUACCGUUAAGACAGCGAAUGGAGCGGAAUUCAAGCGUGCGGUAACUGAGGUCUGUUUUCUACCGUUAGAGGAGGAUGAAAAUUGAAAUGACAUUUCAACGCCGGGGAGGAUGUUGUGCGAGUUGCGCAUUGCGUUUGCUGCUUGGGCAAACUGACAUAUGUCACAGGGAUUGGGCUUGUCGCUUGUAAAAGGAUUUUACGUGUAAUCAGUGAAUAAUUCCCUUUUAUUAGUAUUUUAGAAACGAAAUGCCGUCGGAGAAGAAAGAAACAGCUUUCAAACGCAAACAAACAGUUUACUAUGCUCUUGCUUUCAGAAAUCCAAUGGUAGCGGCACACGAUUCGAUCGUAGUGGCAUAUGAUUCGACCAUAGUGGAACGCGAUUCAACCGUACUGGCACGCGAUUCAACUGGGGAUGCACGCAUUCGAUCGUAGUGGCAAGCGAUUCGAAGCAGGCGGUUUACGAUUCGAACGUAGCUGGAAACAGGUGUAAAUGAACUUUAGUCUUGCAUGCGACAUCAACGAAGAAAGAUCGUCUUGUCCGUGAGGGCUCCCGAUUUAUGGUGAAAGAAAACCUACUACCCCACCCCCUCAAGUUACAGUCCACCGCUAGAGACACAACAAGUAAUUUUCGCAAAAUUCAAUAAUGCAGCAUCCAAACUUAAAAUAAACAACACAUAUGAAGAAAAUGGGAUAAUAUAUGCAAAAUUGGUUAAAUCCACGAACAAAAUAAAUUUUCAAUCGUGCGCACCUUUGUGGAUUUAAUUUGAUUACUACGGAUCUUAAGCUCUGUAACUUGUAUUGUUUAUUUUUUUUUAUUACAUGAAUAAAUUUAUUUAUUCAUGUAAUAAAAAGUUUUACAUGAAUAAAUUGUCGUGACUAUAAA